UACGGGGGGGGGCAAGCGUUUGUUCGGAAUUACUGGGCGUAAAGGGCUCGUAGGCGGCCAACUAAGUCAGACGUGAAAUCCCUCGGCUCAACUGAGGAACUGCCUUUGAAACUGUCAGGCUUGAGGCCGGGAGGGGGUAGCGGAAUUCCCAGUGUAGCGGUGAAAUGCGUAGAUAUUGGGAGGAACACCAGUGGCGAAGGCGGCUACCUGGACCGGUACUGACGCUGAUGCGCGAAAGCGUGGGUAGCAAACAGG
rnacentral:rRNA from 1 species